GUGAGAGACUCGUAAUCCCAGUACUCCUUAGGACGCAGGACGUUUACGUCGGCAAAAACUCGUGCUUUCGACAUGGAUCGCCGAUCCGAAUCGGAACCAGAAACCGAGAUCUGGACGAUAGGAUCAGUGGUGGCAAUGAUCUUAUCAAUCUGGAGUGCGUUGUUGUCGAGGAAGAUAGUGGGAGCGUGGUUGGCUAUUGGAUUAGGAGGAGAGGUGGGAUGGUGAGGGUGCACAGGUUUGGCUUGUGCGCAACCGGCGCACGCAAAGCAAUGAUAGUGCACACUAGCAGCAAACGAUGAAGUGCGGCUGAGUUUUGCACAUCUCUAUCCAUGUGCAACUAACACGACUCUAGGGCGUGCAUUACUC
rnacentral:misc_RNA from 1 species